AUUGAACGCUGGCGGCGGGCCUAACACAUGCAAGUCGAGCGGAUGAAGGGAGCUUGCUCCUGGAUUCAGCGGCGGACGGGUGAGUAAUGCCUAGGAAUCUGCCUGGUAGUGGGGGAUAACGUCCGGAAACGGGCGCUAAUACCGCAUACGUCCUGAGGGAGAAAGUGGGGGAUCUUCGGACCUCACGCUAUCAGAUGAGCCUAGGUCGGAUUAGCUAGUGGGUGGGGUAAAGGCCUACCAAGGCGACGAUCCGUAACUGGUCUGAGAGGAUGAUCAGUCACACUGGAACUGGGCCACGGUCCAGACUCCUACGGGAGGCAGCAGUGGGGAAUAUUGGACAAUGGGCGAAAGCCUGAUCCAGCCAUGCCGCGUGUGUGAAGAAGGUCUUCGGAUUGUAAAGCACUUUAAGUUGGGAGGAAGGGCAGUAAGUUAAUACCUUGCUGUUUUGACGUUACCAACAGAAUAAGCACCGGCUAACUUCGUG
rnacentral:rRNA from 1 species